rnacentral:rRNA from 1 species
GACGAACGCUGGCGGCGUGCCUAACACAUGCAAGUCGAACGAGGUCCAAGGAAGCUUGCUUCCUGAAGACCUAGUGGCGAACGGGUGAGUAACACGUGAGAAACCUGCCUCGGAGUGGGGAAUAACUCGGGGAAACUCGAGCUAAUACCGCAUACCUUCACAUGAUCGCAUGGUCGAGUGAAGAAAGAAUUUCGCUCUGAGAGGGUCUCGCGGCCUAUCAGCUUGUUGGUGGGGUAACGGCCUACCAAGGCAACGACGGGUAGCUGGUUUGAGAGAACGAUCAGCCACACUGGGACUGAGACACGGCCCAGACUCCUACGGGAGGCAGCAGUGGGGAAUCUUGCGCAAUGGGCGAAAGCCUGACGCAGCAACGCCGCGUGCGGGAUGACGGCCUUCGUGGUUGUGAACCGCUUUCAGCAGGGACGAAAAUGACGGUACCUGCAGAAGAAGCCCCGGCUAACUACGUGCCAGCAGCCGCGGUAAU